UACGGAGAGGGCUAGCGUUAUUCGGAAUCAUUGGGCGUAAAGAGCUCGUAGGCGGCUCAGUAAGUCGGGUGUGAAACCCCCAGGCUCAACCUGGGGACGCCACCCGAUACUGCUGUGGCUAGAGUCCAGUAGGGGAGUGUGGAAUUCCCGGUGUAGCGGUGAAAUGCGCAGAUAUCGGGAGGAACACCAGCGGCGAAGGCGGCACUCUGGGCUGGUACUGACGCUGAGGAGCGAAAGCGUGGGUAGCGAACAGG
rnacentral:rRNA from 1 species